GCCGGGCACAGUGGCACAUGCCUGUGAUCCCAGCAACUCAGGAGGCUGAGGCAGGAGGAUCGUGAGUUCAAAGCCAGCCUCAGCAAAAGUGAGGUGUUAAAGUGAGACCCUGUCUCUA
rnacentral:sRNA from 1 species